GUGCCAGCCGCCGCGGUAAUACCGGCAGUCCAAGUGAUGGCCGAUAUUAUUGGGCCUAAAGCGUCCGUAGCCUGCUGUGUAAGUCCAUUGGGAAAUCGACGCGCUCAACGCGUCGGCGUCCGGUGGAAACUACACAGCUUGGGGCCGAGAGACUUGACGGGUACGUCCGGGGUAGGAGUGAAAUCCCAUAAUCCCGCACGGACCACCGAUGGCGAAAGCACUUCGAGAAAACGGAUCCGACAGUGAGGGACGAAAGCCAGGGUCUCCAACCGGAUUAGAAACCCCGGUGUCC
rnacentral:rRNA from 1 species